rnacentral:rRNA from 1 species
UACGUAGGUGGCAAGCGUUGUCCGGAUUUACUGGGCGUAAAGAGCGCGCAGGCGGUCGUUCAAGUCGCGUGUGAAAGCCCCCGGCUCAACUGGGGAGGGUCACGCGAUACUGAUCGACUCGAAGGCAGGAGAGGGUAGUGGAAUUCCCGGUGUAGUGGUGAAAUGCGUAGAUAUCGGGAGGAACACCAGUGGCGAAGGCGGCAUCCUGGACCACGACUGACACUGAAAAGCGAAAGCCAGGGGAGCAAACGGG